rfam:Brassica napus, WGS project CCCW01000000 data, contig: 7381
GAAAUAUAAGAACCCGUCUCUUAAUUUUUAACUAAAAAAGCUAAGAACCGGUUUUUAAAUAAGAGUUUUAAAAACCAGUUCUUAGUUUUUUUAAUUAAAAGUUAAGAGACGGGUUCUUAUAUUCC